rnacentral:rRNA from 1 species
CUAGAGGGGGCUAAGCGUUGUUCGGAAUUACUGGGCGUAAAGGGCGUGUAGCGGAAUGCAAGUCAGAUGUGAAAUUCCAAGGCUCAACCUUGGCGCUGCAUCUGAAACUGUGUUUCUUGAGUGAUGGAGAGGAAAGCGGAAUUCCUAGUGUAGCGGUGAAAUGCGUAGAUAUUAGGAGGAACACCAGUGGCGAAGGCGGCUUUCUGGACAUUAACUGACGCUGAGGCGCGAAAGCGUGGGAGCAAACAGGAUUAGAUACCCUGGUAGUCCACGCUGUAAACGAUGGAUACUAGGUGUAGGAGGUAUCGACCCCUUCUGUGCCGCAGUUAACACAAUAAGUAUCCCACCUGGGGAGUACGGCCGCAAGGUUGA